rnacentral:piRNA from 1 species
UGAGAGGAAAAUGGGAAAUACCUGUCAUG